UGUCAGAUGGCCGAGCGGUCUAAGGCCUGGCGUUCAGGUCGCAGUCUCCCCUGGAGGCGUGGGUUCGAAUCCCACUUCUGACAG
rnacentral:tRNA from 1 species